GACGAACGCUGGCGGCGUGCUUAACACAUGCAAGUCGAACGGAAAGGCCCUGCUUUUGUGGGGUGCUCGAGUGGCGAACGGGUGAGUAACACGUGAGUAACCUGCCCUUGACUUUGGGAUAACUUCAGGAAACUGGGGCUAAUACCGGAUAGGAGCUCCUGCUGCAUGGUGGGGGUUGGAAAGUUUCGGCGGUUGGGGAUGGACUCGCGGCUUAUCAGCUUGUUGGUGGGGUAGUGGCUUACCAAGGCUUUGACGGGUAGCCGGCCUGAGAGGGUGACCGGCCACAUUGGGACGGGGAUACGGCCCAGACUCCUACGGGAGGCAGAAGUGGGGAAUAUUGCACAAUGGGCGGAAGCCUGAUGCAGCAACGCCGCGUGCGGGAUGACGGCCUUCGGGUGGUAAACCGCUUUCGCCUGUGACGAAGCGUGAGUGACGGUAAUGGGUAAAGAAGCACCGGCUAACUACGU
rnacentral:rRNA from 1 species